rnacentral:rRNA from 1 species
AACGAACGCUGGCGGCAUGCCUAACACAUGCAAGUCGAACGAAGGCUUCGGCCUUAGUGGCGCACGGGUGCGUAACGCGUGGGAAUCUGCCCUUGGGUACGGAAUAACAGUGAGAAAUUACAGCUAAUACCGUAUGACGACGUAAGUCCAAAGAUUUAUCGCCCAGGGAUGAGCCCGCGUAGGAUUAGCUAGUUGGUGGGGUAAAGGCCUACCAAGGCGACGAUCCUUAGCUGGUCUGAGAGGAUGAUCAGCCACACUGGGACUGAGACACGGCCCAGACUCCUACGGGAGGCAGCAGUGGGGAAUAUUGGACAAUGGGCGAAAGCCUGAUCCAGCAAUGCCGCGUGAGUGAUGAAGGCCUUAGGGUUGUAAAGCUCUUUUACCCGGGAAGAUAAUGACUGUGCCGGGAGAAUAAGCCCCGGCUAACUUCGUGCCAGCAGCCGCCGUAA